UACAGAGGUCCCAAGCGUUGUUCGGAUUCAUUGGGCGUAAAGGGCGCGUAGGCGGCGGGGUAAGUCGGGUGUGAAAUCUCAGAGCUCAACUCUGAAACUGCACUCGAUACUGCUCUGCUUGAGGACUGGAGAGGAGACUGGAAUUCACGGUGUAGCAGUGAAAUGCGUAGAUAUCGUGAGGAAGACCAGUGGCGAAGGCGGGUCUCUGGACAGUUCCUGACGCUGAGGCGCGAAGGCCAGGGGAGCAAAGCGGG
rnacentral:rRNA from 1 species